CGUUUUCCUAAAAGUUUAGGUGGUCAUUUUCUCUGAGUGCACAGCCGAAUACAUGGGUAGGCAACCUCUGGCACUUUAUAUGUUGUGAACUACACCUCCCAAUGAGCAUUAUGGGAGAUGUAGUGUACAACAUUUGGAGUGCCAAAGGUUGCCUACAUUUUUCACAAAGAUAGAACUGUUUUCGGGAUAGCAGAAAUUCGGAUGGAUAUCAGUUCCAAUGUUGGAUGUCAGAGAGCAAACCAAAAAAGGAGUGAAAUUUGG